GAUGAACGCUAGCGGCAGGCUUAAUACAUGCAAGUCGAGGGGUAGCAAGAUUGUAGCAAUACAAUUGUUGACGACCGGCAAACGGGUGCGGAACACGUACACAACCUUCCUACAAGUGGGGAAUAGCCCAGAGAAAUUUGGAUUAAUACCCCGUAACAUAGCGAUGUGGCAUCACAUUGCUAUUAUAGCUUCGGCGCUUGUUGAUGGGUGUGCUGCUGAUUGAUAGUUGGCGGGGUAACGGCCCACCAAGUCUACGAUCAGUAGCUGAUGUGGGAGCAUGAUCAGCCACACGGGCACUGAGACACGGGCCCGACUCAUACGGGAGGCAGCAGUAAGGAAUAUUGGACAAUGGACGCAAGUCUGAUCCAGCCAUGCCGCGUGAAGGAUUGAGGUCCUCUGGAUUGUAAACUUCUUUUAUAAGGGACGAAAAAAGGUCUUUCUAGAUCGUCUGACGGUACCUUAUGAAUAAGCACCGGCUAACUCCGUGCCAGCCGCCGCAGUAAGAC
rnacentral:rRNA from 1 species